UCUAAGUCCAACCAUAAAAAAGAUUAAAUAUGUUUGCAUAUUGGCUGGUCAAAUAACAUGCUUCAUAGUUCCUAUACGUUUGAUCUAAUAGAGUGACUAAUAUCACUAAAGUUUAUUCAAGUUCUUCUCGCUACAUUAGGUGAUACAUAUUCAGUUAUUGGUAUGGCGUAGUAUAUGCAUAUUUGUCAUGUAUAUACACAUAGAGUCCACUAGCUUCAUCACAUUCUUAUUCUAUUUGGUAAAAUUUUUAUCAGUGACUUAGAGACUUUAAAUAACUUGAGUACAUGUCUUGUAUAAACCCUGUCAUUUGCAUAAGAUACAAGGACAAGUAAGCAUGCGAUUAUAUUGCUAUAGUACGAAC
rnacentral:lncRNA from 1 species